rnacentral:rRNA from 1 species
UACGUAGGGUCCGAAGCGUUAUCCGGAAUCACGUGGGCGUAAAGCGUGUGUAGGCGGGGGCCUAAUGCAAUGCGAAAUCCGUGUGGCUCAACCAUAUCGACGGUAUUGCAUACUGGGUCCCUAGAAGACGGCAGAGGCAAGUGGAAUUAGUAGUGUAGCGGUAAAAUGCGUAGAUAUUACUAGGAACACCAAUGGCGAAGGCAGCUUGCUGGGCCGCCCUUGACGCUGGAGAACACGAAAGCGUGGGGAGCGAACAGG